GGCUUAGAGUUUGAUCAUGGCUCAGGACGAACGCUGGCGGCGUGCUUAACACAUGCAAGUCGAGCGGAGCAGUCUCAUGAAGUCCUUCGGGGCGGAUUGAGAAGGUGCUUAGCGGCGAACGGGUGAGUAACACGUGGGUAACCUACCUCAAACCCUGGGAUAACUCCGGGAAACCGGGGCUAAUACCGGAUGAGGUCACUUAGGCGCAUGUCUUUGUGACGAAAAGUCCGCUGGUUUGAGAUGGGCCCGCGGUCCAUUAGCUUGUUGGUAGGGUAACGGCCUACCAAGGCUGCGAUGGAUAGCCGACCUGAGAGGGUGACCGGCCACACUGGGACUGAGACACGGCCCAGACUCCUACGGGAGGCAGCAGUGGGGAAUUUUGGACAAUGGGCGCAAGCCUGAUCCAGCCAUUCCGCGUGAGUGAAGAAGGCCUUCGGGUUGUAAAGCUCUUUCGGCAGGAACGAAACGGCGGGCUCUAACAUAGCCUGUUACUGACGGUACCUGCAGAAGAAGCACCGGCUAACUACGUGCCAGCAGCCGCGGUAAUACGUAGGGUGCGAGCGU
rnacentral:rRNA from 1 species